rnacentral:rRNA from 1 species
GUACGGGAGGCAGCAGUGGGGAAUCUUGCGCAAUGGCCGAAAGGCUGACGCAGCGACGCCGCGUGUGGGAGGACGCCCUUCGGGGUGUAAACCACUGUUGCCCGGGACGAACAUCUGGUUUCGACCAGACUGACGGUACCGGGUGAGGAAGCACCGGCUAACUCCGUGCCAGCAGCCGCGGUAAUACGGAGGGUGCGAGCGUUGUCCGGAAUCACUGGGCGUAAAGGGCGCGUAGGCGGCGCGGAUAGUCGGCGGUGAAAGCCCGGAGCUCAACUCCGGGUCGGCCGUCGAUACUUCCGGGCUUGAGCACUGUAGAGGCAGAUGGAAUUCCGGGUGUAGCGGUGGAAUGCGUAGAGAUCCGGAAGAACACCGGUGGCGAAGGCGGUCUGCUGGGCAGUUGCUGACGCUGAUGCGCGACAGCGUGGGGAGCAAACAGGAUUAGAUACCCCGGUAGC